rnacentral:lncRNA from 1 species
CUACUUCUUCUUUUUCAUCUCAUCUUUUUCUUUAUCUAUAGAUGAACCACUAUGAAAACCUGAAGUAUGAGAGGGCUUUUCCUUCUCAACAUACCCCCUCAAGUUAGAGGGGAACUUAGUGACCCCUAUCUUGCCCAAAAUAUCUCGAUGAGAAACCCCAGAAAGAGGCUUCGUAAAGAUGUCUGCAAGCUAUGCUUUAGAAGGAACGAAAGAAAGAGUAAUUAACCCAGAAAGAAAUCGUUGACGUACAAAAUAACAGUAAAUUUCGACAUGUUUUGUGCGUUUAUGAAAGAUGGGAUUUCGGGAAAUUUGAAUCUCUUCCUUACUAUUAGAAUGAAGAGGAAUUGGUAAAGUGACCGGUGCAGAUAGAUCCUCAAGAAUUUUAACCCAACCAGGUAAGCUCUGCAGUGACCCUUCUCAUAGAUCUAUAUUCUGCUUCUGCAGAGGAUAAAGAAAUUGUGAUAUGCUUCUUUGAUUUUCAGGAGAUGGGUGCUCCUCCUAGAGUGAUAAAGAAACCACUAACAGACCUUCUAGAAUUCCUGCAGGAAGCCUAGUCAGCAUCACAGAAUGCGAGCUAAGAGAAAGAUGGAUCAGCUGAUAGUAGAAUGAUUGUCCUGGAUCAGAACUGAGGUAUUUAAGAACUCGUAAAGAAGCAGAGAUGAGACACACAUGGCUUCUACAUGUAUUGACUGAGGGUAAGUACAACAAAAUAAUGAUCUGGUCUAGUAUUUGUUACAUAAUUCAACUUUCUGACUAGAUGACAAAAUAUAGUUGGGUUUUGCAAAUAUUCUCCAUCAUCAGCCUGUAGUUUGAGGGCAGGAUCCAAAGGAGAACUGACUCGAGGAAAAUGAGACACAUCAAAUUCCUGAAACAUGUCUAAGGUGAAUUCUCUUUGACUCACAAAAAAUCUUGCUUGUUCUAUCAAAAUUUUCAUACUUAGAAAGAGUGUAUAAUUCCCAAGUUUUUUACUUUAAACUCACUAUUAAGAAAAUCUUUUAUGCCUUGAAUUUCUGCUAAGUCAUCUCCUGUGAUUAAUAUGUCAUCAACAUAAACAGUUAAGAUAGAGAUAAGGCCGCAUAUGCGUUUAAAGAACAAAGAAUAGUCAUUUAUUGAUGAAGAAUAUCCUUUAAAACUUAGGGCUCCUACAAGUCUAGCAUACCACUGCCUAGAUGUUUGCUUUAAACCAUAUAGGGACUUCUUCAAAAGAAAAACAUGUUUAAGACUAGGAGAAUCCAUACCUACUGGAAAUCUCAUAUAUACUUCUUCUUACAAAUCUCCAUGCAAGAACACAUUGUUCACAUCUAGGUGAGUAACAUUCCAAUCUUUCUUGGCAGCAAUAGUGAGUAGACACCUUAUGGUUGUCAUUUUCACCUUUGGUGAAAAAGUCUCACUGUAAUCUAUUCCUUAUCUUUGAAUAUCCCCCCUGACCACCAAACCUUCCUUCAAACUUUGAACUCUGUCAUCUGAUAAGUGUUCUACCUUGUAUGUCCAUUUACAAGGUAAAGCUCUUUUCCUUUUAGGUAAUUCAACCACAUCCCACUUGUGCUUGUCUUCUAGAGCUUUAAUUUCUACAUUCAUAGCUUCUAUACAUCCUGUAUAUUGACAAGCCUGACUCAAAGUAGAGGGUUCUGUUAGGGUAGAAAGGGAUUGCAUUACAUGUUGGUUAUUAGAUUAGAGAAAUGAAAAAAAAUACUCAAUAGGUUGACAGGGUUGAGUAAAACAAUUUGUGGCUAAAUAUAUGAACAUGAUGUUAUUACAAAUAAAAUCUUUCAGGUUGAUUGGUUGUGUAGAAACUCUUCCCGAUCUCCUCACUGCAUAGGUUCUUUAGGUGUAGAAGAAAGCGUCCUGGUGUGUGAUGACUCUAGGCUAGGAGAGAUUAGAGUUUGUGAUUAUGGAGAAACUGAAUGGUGAUGAGAAAUGUGAGGGGGGCUGGAUGAUUGUGGUAGAAAAAUAUCUGUUGCAUCAUAUUCUAAAGAAGCAUGUUGUGUUUCAUCUUGGAAUGUGGUUGACUAGGUAGGUUUAGUUGUGAAAAUUUAAGUUGGAAAAAUAGAUGGUGUUCUAAGUUUGUUUUUGUAAAGGGAAAACGUGACUCAUGAAAUUCCACGUCCCUAGACACAAAUAAUUUCCCUGUAGACAACACCAAAAGUUUAUAUCCUUUCUGUUGAAGAGGGUAACCAAGUAAACACACAAGUUGUUGCCCAAUCAUCAAACGUCCCUCUACCCUAUUUCAAAGUAGAGGCAUAGCAUAGACAUCCAAAGUUCCUCAAAUAGUUAUACUUAGGUUUGUGUUGAAAUAAGACCUAAAAUGGUGUCUUUUCUUGAAGAAUGCUAGAAGGCAACCUAUUAAUAAUGUGUGUGGCAGUUAGAAUAGAUUCACCCCAAUAUUACAUAGGAAGUAUGGAUUGAAACAUUAGACCUCUAGCAAUUUCUAAGAGAUAUCUAUGUUUUCUCUCAACAAUCUCAUUAUGUUGAGGUAUUUCUAGACAAGAAACCUGGUGCAUAAUUCCUUAUGAAGCAAGAAAAGCUGCUUCUUGUGUCACUUUCCCUAAUUCUAGAGUAUUAUCAGACCUUAUCAAUUUCACCUUUGAAUUGAACUGUCUUUCAACCAUGGACAAGAAAGAUUUGAGCAUGGGAAAUGCAUUGCUCUUAGAAGACAAUAAAAAUGUCCAUGUUCCUCUACUAUAUUCAUCUACUAUAGUAAGAAAAUAUCUGAACCCAUCAUAGGUAUUAGACUUGUAAGUUCCCCAUGUAUCUAUAUGUAUGAGAUCAAAAACAUUUCUAGAUUUAAUAUUGCUUACUCGGAAAGGUUUCAUUAUCUGCCCAACCUUAGGACAACCAUCACAAAUAAAAUUAGAGUUCGAGUCACAAUGAAGAAAAUCCAAAUGUUUCAUUGCUGAAAAUGGGAGAUGUCCCAACCUUACAUGACAAAGUUUAAUAUUAGGACUAGCACUAACAUGAACAUGACUAGAAAAAGACAUAGACUCUGAAAUGGAAUUUCUUCCUUUCUGAAUUAAAGAUACAUUACUACUGAAUAGACCCUUAUACUUAAGUUUACUAGGUUCUAAUUGUUAGAUAAUACGGUUAACGCUAGAGGGGGG